UACGGAGGGUGCAAGCGUUGUCCGGAUUUAUUGGGUUUAAAGGGUGCGUAGGCGGCCCGUUAAGUCAGCGGUGAAAUCCCAGGGCUCAACCCUGGAACUGCCGUUGAUACUGGCGGGCUUGAGUUCGGUCGAGGCGGGCGGAACUGGUGGUGUAGCGGUGAAAUGCAUAGAUAUCGUAAAGAACACCUAUAGCGAAGGCAGCUUGCUAAACUACUACUGACACUGAGGUGCGAAAGCGUGGGUGGCAAACAGG
rnacentral:misc_RNA from 1 species